CCCUUAGAUGUCCUGGGCCGCACGCGCGCUACACUGAUGCAUGCAACGAGUAUAUAACCUUGGCCUGAAAGGCCUGGGUAAUCUUUUGAACGUGCAUCGUGAUAGGGAUAGAUUAUUGAAAUUAUUAAUCUUGAACGAGGAAUUCCUAGUAAACGCAGAUCAUCAAUCUGCAUUGAUUACGUCCCUGCCCUUUGUACACACCGCCCGUCGCACCUACCGAUUGGAUGGUCCGGUGAAGCCUCGGGAUUGUGGUUCUUGCCGCUUUAUUGUGGCGUGACCGCGAGAACUUGUCUAAACCUUAUCAUCUAGAGGAAGGUGAAGUCGUAACA
rnacentral:rRNA from 1 species